rnacentral:lncRNA from 1 species
AACCAAUAAAAAGUGAAUGAUAAUCAUAAAAUUAAAAUUAAAAACAAAAUAAAUAAAUAAAUAAAUAAAAUAAAAUAAAAUAAAAUAAAAGUCUUCGUAGGCCUAGUGUGCCUAAACGGGCCUAAGGUGAGACUAAGUGGGCCUAGGGUAGUGCCUAAUGGGCCAAGUGUAUCUAAAAGCUAUCCUAAAAAAAACAAGAAAAGCCUAAGUCUAAGUUAGGGCUGCCAAGGGUCACAAUAAG